CGCCGCCGCGGUAAUACAGAGGGUGCAAGCGUUAAUCGGAAUUACUGGGCGUAAAGCGCGCGUAGGUGGUUUGUUAAGUUGGAUGUGAAAUCCCCGGGCUCAACCUGGGAACUGCAUCCAAAACUGGCAGGCUAGAGUAGGGCAGAGGGUGGUGGAAUUUCCUGUGUAGCGGUGAAAUGCGUAGAUAUAGGAAGGAACACCAGUGGCGAAGGCGACCACCUGGGCCUGCACUGACGCUCAUGCACGAAAGCGUGGGGAGCAAACAGGAUUAGAGACCCCGUAGUCCCUGUCUCUUAUACAA
rnacentral:rRNA from 1 species